rnacentral:misc_RNA from 1 species
UAGAAGAUUUUUCCCUAAUCCUAGUAAGCUUCCUCUAGCUUUUUGAUGCAUAAAUUCUCAAGCAGUGCUUUAUUCUUGUUGAUGGUUGAGUUAUUUUGUCACUGCAUAUAUUAUCUUAGAUGAUAAUUUUGUUUGAACGGUAUGUUUUAUUAAAUAAUGUAUGGGUUGAUAUGUGGGAGAACUUCAUAUGUUUCUAUUAGAACUUCAACACUUUGUUGAUACUGCUCUGUGAUUUAUUAUGGGAAUCAUUUAUAUAUAAUGCUUUGUUUGUAAAUUUUUGUGUAAAGAUGAUGCGGCAUA